ACCGAAAUAGCUCAGUUGGGAGAGCGUUAGACUAUAAAUCGAAGAGUCCCUGGCUCGAUCCCGGGUUCCGGCA
rnacentral:tRNA from 1 species